rnacentral:misc_RNA from 1 species
GAUGAAGAACGUAGCGAAAUGCGAUAAGUAGUGUGAAUUGCAGAAUUCAGUGAAUCAUCGAAUCUUUGAACGCACAUUGCGCCCCUCCGUAUUCCGUGGGGCAUGCCUGUUCGAGCGUCAUUUAACCCCUCAAGCCUAGCUUGGUAUUGGGUGCUUGUCCCGCCUCUCGCGCGGCGACUCACCUCAAAGUCAUUGGCAGCCCGCAUCUCGCCGGCCGUGAGCGCAGCACAGACGCGCUCUUGGCAACGACGGAUCGGCUCUCCAAAAGCUUAUUUCAACCACUGACCUCGGAUCAGGUAGGGAUACCCGCUGAACUUAAGCAUAUCAAUAACGGAGGA